GUAAAUGUACAAAUCUAUGCCACACACACACACACACCUGCCACAUGCCGCAUGCCACAUGCCAUCAUGCGGCAGUGUCUGUAACCAGCGGCUGUGUGUCUGUGUGGGAUUUCUUUUGGCCAAGCUUUUGAUUUGUUUGUUAACCCUCAUGCGGUCACCAGAGCUCACAGAGCUGCACUCUGCCUCUGUCUCUGCCUCUCUCUUUGGCUUUCAACGCUCGUUUCACUGAUCAUUUGGGUUGAUUGUGGUCAUUCCGAGAAGGUGAAAGAUGAAGAAAGUGCGGCCUGGGGGCAGAGACACUCGCAAUAGGAUUGGGAUUGGCAGUUUUAGGUGACAAAUUAGCAAUGGAAAUGAAACAAAAGUGGAGAGGAAUUCUAAGCGAAGGAACUGGACUGCAGCUGGUAAGAAAUUCAUUGAAAAAUAUGGCCAUUUCUUAAGAAAAGUAUGUAUAUGUAGCUGCCUAUACGAAUGAGUGGAAUGAUAAUAAAGUUUCACUGGGUUGAAGCCCAGAACUGUAGGAGCUCCUUCUGUCUACUGGGAAUCCUUAAAUACCGGGAAAAUGUACAUUUUAUUGCUUAAGUUUUGAUGAAUUUGUACAGCUUUUUAUUUAUUAUUAAUUCCGUUGGAAAUGUAAUACUAAAUAUUGUUUUUCUGUGUGUUUGUUUUCAGGUAAAUUCAUGGAAUAUCGGAUUAAAUUGUAAACCUUUAUCAAGCCUAUUCCUGGAAGGAUUUCGAUCCAAAAAUGAUCUAAAUAC
rnacentral:lncRNA from 1 species